AUUGUGACUGCACACAUUAUUUGAAGCGUGAAGGAAAUAUUAUCUUGAGCGUGGAGAAAUAUUAUUUGAAGCGUGGAGAAAUAUUAUUUGAAGCGUGACGGAAAACAAGCGUCGAUGCGAGGGAGAUCGUCACGUGAAAAGGCCAUGUGCGCUGUUCGAUCAUGUAAACAAAGUGGAACGAAGACAGAAAGUCCAACGUUAGCUAGGCUAUAAGAGAUUUUGCAUACAGUUUGUCUUUCUGCCACAGAUUCAAAGAGAAUUCAGAUAGAAAAUGGAACUAUUGAACAAUAAAUUCUGCCUGGAAGCAAGAACUGGGGAAUACAGUGCAAGGGAUACCCGCUGCUCUAUUUCAAAAGUUAUUGGGAAUUUGUGAUAGAAGAUUGUGCAGAUCUGGACAAAAAUUCAAUGUGAAUAACUUUGAAGAAAGAAGUCUUGGCAAAUUUCAGAGAAUUUUUGAUGGAAGAAUAUGUGUUGUUCCUGAACAUUUUGCACAUGAAAUUUGUCCUUUUGACAUCAUUUGACACUAAUUUGAAGUGAUGCAUUUUUGAUAAAUUUGUACAUGUAUAUGAAAUACUCCAUUUAAAGUGUCACAUCUGUGUCUCAGGUUACUGCUGAUAAAGUGGGAUCUGCAUGAGUGAACAAACUUGAAUUUCUGCAUUUAUAUUGAUUGCAUUUAUGAAAUUUGUAUUUACAUUUACCAAAGUACCAAAGAAUGUAUUAAAAUUAUAUGAAAAU